GUUUCUGUGAGUGUGUGUUUGAGAAGGGGUGAGAAUGAAUGGAGGGGGACAGCCCGGGGGUUCCCUUUUUGUGACCCUCUGUUUUGAAGAUGAGAGAGGUUCAGGACAUGAAGACAAAGAAUGAGUUUACCAUAAACAAACAAACACUUUCCAAGUUGAUUUCUUCUCUCCUCCAUCCAUUUGGACUUGGUGUCUAAGCAGUGACAAGUACAAUGGACAGAAGAAUGCAGAUGUAACAUUUCUGAACCUUUGAGGAAAUAUACCAAUCAGUUGGAAACAAGGAGAAGCAACCAGCACCAUGUGACCAGCCAGCUCUCUGCAAACCAUUAGUCUGUGUUCUGUAGACCAGCAGCAAUCCAUGGACAGAAACAUGGUUCCAUUUGGGAUUAGUGGGUGAGAAGGUUCCCCACAUUUAAUAUAGUUGGUACUGAAAUAAUUAACUGCUUUGCAGUGUAGAAAUAACCUUGAGGAUUACUUCCUGAGAUGUUUUUGCAAAAUGUGUUGUAUAACUGACAAAAACACAAUUAUGCUUAAGUCUGUGUUGUACAGUCACUUUCAAGACUCAUGAAUGGAAGUUGAGUGUUAAAUAAACCCAUGACAUUCCAGACUUCUGAUAUCACAGGCAUAAAAAUAAAUGCUUAGCAUUCAGGCAGCAAAUUCACUAAAUAAACCUCACAUUACAAUAACAGGUGACCAAUGGUGAAAAAGCUUUUAAGUCAUCAUACAUGAACUAGACAUAGAGAUACAGUUAGAACAUAAGAACCGUCAGAGCGGGUCAGACAAAUGGUGCAUCUAACCCAGUAUUCUGUCUGACAGUGGCCUGUACCAGAGCUUUAGAGAGAGUGUACAGAACAGGGCAGUUGUAAUACAUCACUUUCUCCAGCUUUCUGGCAGUCAGAGGUUUAGGGUUACCCCAGACAUGGGGUUACAGCCCUGUCCAUCCUGGCUAAAAGCCAUUGAUGGGCCUAUCCUCCAUGAACUUCUCUAAUUCUUUCUGGAACCAGUUAUUGUCAUGGGAUAUUGUGAUGGUCAAAAGUAUGAGUUCCACAGGCUAAUUGUGUGCUAUGUGAAAAUGUACUUCCUCUUUUUAGUCUUAAAUCCACUGUCUAUUAAUUUCACCAGGUGACCCCUGGUAUUUGUAUUGUGGGAAAGGGGUAAACACCACUUCUCUACUCACUUUCUCCACUAUGAUGUUUUAUAGACCUCUAUCAUAUCCCCCUUUAGUUGACUUUUUCUAAACUGAGCAGUCCUAAUCUUUUAGUUUCUCCUUGUAUGGAAGCUAUUCCACACACUUGAUCAUCUUUGUUGCCCUUCUCUGAACCUUUUCCAGUUCCACUAUAUCCUUUUGGAGAUGAGGCAACAGGAACUGGACACAGUAUCAAGGUGUGGGUGUAUUAUGGAUUUAUAUAGUGGCAUUAUGGCAUUUUCUGUCUUAUUUUCUAUUCCUUUCCUAAUAGUUCCUAACAUUGUUUGCCUUUUUGACCGUUACUGUGCACUGCACUGAAGUUUUCAGAGAACUAUCCACUGUGUCUCCAAGAUCUCUUUCUUGAUGGGUUCUAAAUUGGGUGUUACCACUUAUUACAUAUGUGUAGUUGGGAUUAUCUUUCCAAUGUGCAUUACUUUGCUUUUAUCAACAUUUAAUUUCAUCUGCCAUUUUGUUGCCUAGUCACCCAGUUUUCUGAGAUCUCCCUGUUCUUCUGCAGUCAGCUUUGGACGUAACUAUCUUGAAUAAUUUUGUAUCAUCUGCAAGCUUUGCCACUUCACUGUU